AGUGGGGUAGCUCAAUGGCAGAGCAUCCGGCUCUUAACCCGGAUGGACACAGGUUCGAGCCCUGUCCUCACUU
rnacentral:tRNA from 1 species